rnacentral:rRNA from 1 species
GAUGAACGCUGGCGGCGUGCCUAAUACAUGCAAGUCGAGCGAACGGACGAGAAGCUUGCUUCUCUGAUGUUAGCGGCGGACGGGUGAGUAACACGUGGAUAACCUACCUAUAGGACUGGGAUAACUUCGGGAAACCGGAGCUAAUACCGGAUAAUAUUUUGAACCGCAUGGUUCAAAAGUGAAAGACGGUCCUGCUGUCACUUAUAGAUGGAUCCGCGCUGCAUUAGCUAGUUGGUAAGGUAACGGCUUACCAAGGCAACGAUGCAUAGCCGACCUGAGAGGGUGAUCGGCCACACUGGAACUGAGACACGGUCCAGACUCCUACGGGAGGCAGCAGUAGGGAAUCUUCCGCAAUGGGCGAAAGCCUGACGGAGCAACGCCGCGUGAGUGAUGAAGGUCUUCGGAUCGUAAAACUCUGUUAUUAGGGAAGAACAUAUGUGUAAGUAACUGUGCACAUCUUGACGGUACCUAAUCAGAAAGCCACGGCUAACUACGUG